rnacentral:misc_RNA from 1 species
UCCGGUUUGUCACCGGCGGUCUCCUUAGAGUUCCCACCAUUACGUGCUGGCAGCUAAGGACAAGGGUUGCGCUCGUUGCGGGACUUAACCCAACAUCUCACGACACGAGCUGACGACAGCCAUGCACCACCUGUGAUGGUGUCCCGAAGGAAAGGUGUGUUUCCACACCGGUCACCAACAUGUCAAACCCAGGUAAGGUUCUUCGCGUUGCGUCGAAUUAAACCACAUGCUCCACCGCUUGUGCAGGCCCCCGUCAAUUUCUUUGAGUUUUAACCUUGCGGCCGUACUCCCCAGGCGGAUGACUUAAUGCGUUAGCUGCGCCACCGAAAGCCUAAGGCCCCCGACAGCUAGCCAUCAUCGUUUACGGCGUGGACUAC